CUUCGCAGUAAAAUAACUCUGGUAAAAUGGAUAUUGAUAGUUUGAGUAAAGAUUUUACGAAUGAUGUGCAGGUGCUUCGUGAUUUUAGAAUUCGUAGGCGUCAAAAAAAAAUUUAUAAACAGAGCGUGAAUUCUCUGGACCUGAAAGAAGAAGAAUUCCGGUCGUAGUUUUGGGAAGCAUAUUGUAUGAUCUGAGUCACAUGCGAACGAGGAAUAAUUACUAUAACUGUCGAGCGUUGCUUCGGGGUGUGGAAGCAAAGAUUCCGCAUUCUCAAUGAAACGUUGUGAGGAUUCCUCCACGUGAUCAAGAUCACGAUUAUUGCUGGUGCAGUUUUGCACAAUUUAACAAUACUAAUAAUAAUUAAUGAGUCUAUUUUAAAUCAAGAUCCUACAGGCAUUGAAAAUCAAUUAACAAAUCCAACUGUCCCUAAUAAUGUAGAAGAAUAAGAAGAUGAAUGCGAAAAACAAGGGAAAACAUCAACACAGCCAUAUUGAAACUUAUUUUUAUAAUUAAAUAAAUAUUUUCAUAUAUUUGUAAA